rnacentral:lncRNA from 1 species
CCCUCUCCCUAGGCAGGCCUUCCUUCUUUCUUCUCUUUGGGGAGUUUCCCUGGGCCAGCUUNNNNNNNNNNNNNNNNNNNNNNNNNNNNNNNNNGGAAAGCCCACUUGGCAGUGUCUCUAACCUAGACUUUAUCAGCAAUAAAGAGGACAUUUUGGCCCCUAUCGGUAGGGGUUUGUUCUUUGUCUUCCUUCUUAAUUGGUUCAGAACCUGGAUGGGGAAAGCAGUUUUAUUUGCUGGGCCCUACUCAGAGUUCUCAAGAAAACACACAAACACACACACACACAGUUUGUUAAUAAUAUAAUCUCAAAGAAUAAAGGUUUUUUUUUUUUUCUUCAGUGUGUGGGUUUUGUUUUUACUGAAGCUAUAGUAAGAAGCAGGCAAGCAGGAAGGUAUACUAAAACAUCUAGAGACAGAGUUCCCGUCGUGGCUCAGCUGUUAACGAACCUGACUAGUAUCCAUGAGGACACGGGUUGGAUCCCUGGCUUCACUCAGGGGGUUAAGGGUCCCACGUUGCCAUGAGCUGUGGUGUAGGUAGCAGAUGCGGCUCGGAUCUGGCAUUGCUGUGGUUGUGGUGUAGGCCAGUGGCUGCUGCAGCUCCAAUUCGACCCCUAGCCUGGGAACUUCCAUAUGCCAUGGGUGCAGCCCUAAAAAGACAAAAACAAACAAACAAAAACUAUAAAACAUCUAGAGAAAUAAAAAUAUCUGACCAGAAUAAGAAAGACUAGGUGAGUGUUCAAUGUGGAUUCAGUUUGCAUUUUUAGGAUAGGAUAAUGCUUCUCAAAUUUCAAUAGUGCCAAAGAAUCACCUGGAGAUGUUGUUGAAAUUCCUAUUCACAACACAUUCAAUGGGUUUUGUGUGGAGCCUAAAUUCUAUAUUUCCAGUAAGCUUCGGGUAAUGCUGAUGCCUUUGGCCUAUAGACAACACCUUAAGUAGCAAGGGUGUAGAAUAUCAUGAACUGCUACUUUCCACACUCAAUAAGCACUUGUCAAAUUUCUUUUUAUUUCAAAGCUAAUUUACAUCAAUAAUUACUUUGCUUAAUCUGUUUAUGAUGUGCCUAUAAUUUCCGGAUGUACGUCUAUCAGGAUAGCACAUCAUAUCAAGUCAUUCNNNNNNNNNNNNNNNNNNNNNNNNNNNNNNNCUGCAGCAUAUGGAAAUUCCCAGGCCAGGGAUCAAACCUGCACCAGAGCACAGUGACUCAAGCCACUGCAGCGAUAAUGCCGGAUCCUUAACCCACUGCACCACGGAGAAUUCCUGCCCCCACAUUUUGAUGGCUCCCAUUAUCAGCAGACUUUUACUGCUUAACAAACCAUGCCCAAUGCACCUGCUUAAAAAAACAACCAUCAUUUGCUCACAGUUCUUUGGGUUGGGCCCAGCUGGGUGAUUCUGCUGCUGGUGUUGACUGGGCUCGCUCUUGGAUCGAUGGCCAGCUGCAGGGAGCUAGGUUCCUGUUCUCCUGGCAGUGCUGAUUGUGGACUCGGUCAGUGGAGAGAACUGGACCACAUGUUUCUCAUCACCAUUCAACUAGCUAAAGCGGGCUUGUUCACAUGGCUGCAGAAGGGUUCCAUGUGCAGCAUGGGUCACCCACACGUGCAAGCUCUUUGCUUGCCUCUACCUGAAGCACGUUUGCUACCCCUGGUCAUCCCCUUGGUCGAAGCAAGUUGUAUGGCCAAGUCCAGUGUCAGUGUGGGAUAGAUUUACUUGAGUUAUGGAUGCUGGAGAGGGAAGCAUUUGUGGCUGCUUUUGCAAUCCAAAUAUUCAAGUUCAAGUUGGCCUUUAAGGUCCACCUCCUACCCCCUGAAAAGCCUAUCAGGCUUCUUUUUACCUCCACACUAUUACUCUUUCACUGCCCUCCUCCUGGAAUACUCUAUCUUUGGACAGAGACUUGGUUCAUUUUCAGAUGGUAUGUCCUACUGAAACUUGUUGUCUAAAUUGGACGGGAUCUUGAAUUAUAUGGCACAUCUCA